UCGCGCUAGACGGGGAGCCAGCGGUGCCCUGUACCCGCAAUCCGCUAUAGCGGGGUCGAAUUCCUGCCGGAGGUGCGGCUGUUUGUGAAGUAUCUGUUCGAACGGCGUUGAUGGCUGGGCCCGGCGCAAUGGCUGAUCGGUGAACCCCGUCAGGUCCGGAAGGAAGCAGCGGUAAACCGGUUCACCCAUGUGCCGCCAGGUGUCCUGGCUGGAGCUUGUUCGGGCAGGAACACCCACGGGCGGCCGUAACGAAAGCAGGUGCGCGA
rnacentral:SRP_RNA from 1 species